GGAGCGAUGACAGAGCGGCCGAAUGUGACGGUCUUGAAAACCGUUGAGGUGAAAGCCUCCGGGGGUUCGAAUCCCCCUCGCUCCGCCG
rnacentral:tRNA from 1 species